ensembl:lncRNA
CAAGUAGUGUACAUCUACUUCAGUCAUCAGGGCAGGACCCACUAAUUUCAUUCAUACUGACAAAUAGUAAAUGCAACUUUAUCCCUGUCAAUAGUUGGAGUUGGAUGAAAACAUAGCACCCGGCCUCAGACUUUUAGGAUGUUCAUUUUCUAGCUCACAAAUUACAUUAUUUUGCUGUGAUGAUUUACUGUAUUUAGUUUAUUCUUGCCUUUCACUUUUGUGUCACAUGAUCUGUUUAGCUCUCAUUUGUCCUGCUCCCAGAGAUUAACCAAGUGCUAUUCACCAAGCAUGGACUGAUUCACUCACCUGUGAGGAGAACCAUCCUACAGCAGUUUGAACUAGACCUGCCGUCACUGUUUAGAUUUUGGGACCACAUAUGCAUUUGCCUGUUGUCUUUUCUUUGUGGAUUCUAUCUUACACAGUCUAGUGCAUUUUAGAGUUCAAGAACACCAACUGCAGAUAAAAGUGGUUGUUUGAGCAUCUUGAAGACUAAAUUCAAUGUAGAAUCAGUGUAACCGGUGACAAACAGAUUAUUUUACUAUUGUAACAAGCAGUGGUGAGAAUUCUAUUGUCCUCGUCAGGAGCCCAGACUUUUGCCAUAGAUGGUUGAGUUCUUGUCUCUGGACCACACAAGCUUCAGUCAGCUACAUUGGUGAUCAGAGUGGGAUCCUUUUGAUAUGCCUAUGAGGCCUGGGCACACAAAUGCUCCUAGAGAGAAGGUGGAAUACUAAAGUAUGUGUUGAUGACAGGUCUGCAGUCUCCAGAGGCCCAUGCUUUUGGCACUGAUGGAAAAGCUCUCAUUUCUUGACUGCAAUAUUGUAAGAUUGUGCCCUCCACAGCACUUGAUAUACAUUAAUUGGUAGGUUACGCUAUAUUUAUGUAGCCAGGUGGUAAAAGCGCAUAGCUGUAUUCAUUUUAAUCCACUAGUUGACACCAUCCCUUUUAAGAGAUUCAUAAACAAGGUGUGCCCGCGGUUAUGGGAUUGCGCAGUGUGUAAGAGUGAGAACAAGCAAUUACACUGGAGACCUGUUGAAAUCCAUCGUGGAUCCAAUGUUACUUUAGAUGGAUUGACAUGAGGAUGUUAGCUUCUUGCUAGCUGAAUACCAGUGCUCUCAGAACCACGUCGUGAAGUUGAUGAUAACAUUACUUGAAGUUAUGGGUGAGAUGAGGAUCUACUGUUCCAUGUGGGGUUAGUGCAUCACCUGGACAGUGUGUUUAAAGUAGAGCCACUACAGUUUAUGCAUUUCACUUUGGACUUGUAGUACUCCGAUUGUUUUAUGCACUUAAUUUAUUUCACUUGAUUGUGAUUUGGACUGAACAUUACUUUAUGGUGACUUCAUCUUGUGGUGAUUUCCCUUCUACAUUAUCCUAUUUUAAAUUUAAGUUUUGACAGAAUAAACAACCCCAAAUUAGUUUGUCUUGUGCUGGGUUUACUUUCGCCAGGCUACAUUUAUAUACUGCUUAAGACACCUUUGCUAUUUGCCUCUGUACUCAAUAAAUGGCGCAUCAUUA